UUAGAGUUUGAUAGUGGCUCAGAUUGAACGCUGAGCGGCAGGCCUAACACAUGCAAGUCGAACGGUAACAGGAAACAGCUUGCUGUUUCGCUGACGAGUGGCGGACGGGUGAGUAAUGUCUGGGAAACUGCCUGAUGGAGGGGGAUAACUACUGGAAACGGUAGCUAAUACCGCAUAACGUCGCAAGACCAAAGAGGGGGACCUUCGGGCCUCUUGCCAUCGGAUGUGCCCAGAUGGGAUUAGCUAGUAGGUGGGGUAACGGCUCACCUAGGCGACGAUCCCUAGCUGGUCUGAGAGGAUGACCAGCCACACUGGAACUGAGACACGGUCCAGACUCCUACGGGAGGCAGCAGUGGGGAAUAUUGCACAAUGGGCGCAAGCCUGAUGCAGCCAUGCCGCGUGUAUGAAGAAGGCCUUCGGGUUGUAAAGUACUUUCAGCGGGGAGGAAGGGAGUAAAGUUAAUACCUUUGCUCAUUGACGUUACCCGCAGAAGAAGCACCGGCUAACUUCCGUUGUCCAAGCAAGCCGGCCGGUAAAUACGGAAGGGGUGCAAGCGUUAAUCCGGAAUUAACUGGGCGUAAAGCCGCAACGCAGGGCGGUUUGUUUAAGUCAGAUGUGAAAUCCCCGGGCUCAACCUGGGAACUGCAUCUGAUACUGGCAAGCUUGAGUCUCGUAGAGGGGGGGUAGAAUUCCAGGUGUAGCGGUGAAAUGCGUAGAGAUCUGGAGGAAUACCGGUGGCGAAGGCGGCCCCCUGGACGAAGACUGACGCUCAGGUGCGAAAGCGUGGGGAGCAAACAGGAUUAGAUACCCUGGUAGUCCACGCCGUAAACGAUGUCGACUUGGAGGUUGUGCCCUUGAGGCGUGGCUUCCGGAGCUAACGCGUUAAGUCGACCGCCUGGGGAGUACGGCCGCAAGGUUAAAACUCAAAUGAAUUGACGGGGGCCCGCACAAGCGGCGGAGCAUGUGGUUUAAUUCGAUGCAACGCGAAGAAUCCUUACCUGGUCUUGACAUCCACAGAACUUUCCAGAGAUGGAUUGGUGCCUUCGGGAACUGUGAGACAGGUGCUGCAUGGCUGUCGUCAGCUCGUGUUGUGAAAUGUUGGGUUAAGUCCCGCAACGAGCGCAACCCUUAUCCUUUGUUGCCAGCGGUCCGGCCGGGAACUCAAAGGAGACUGCCAGUGAUAAACUGGAGGAAGGUGGGGAUGACGUCAAGUCAUCAUGGCCCUUACGACCAGGGCUACACACGUGCUACAAUGGCGCAUACAAAGAGAAGCGACCUCGCGAGAGCAAGCGGACCUCAUAAAGUGCGUCGUAGUCCGGAUUGGAGUCUGCAACUCGACUCCAUGAAGUCGGAAUCGCUAGUAAUCGUGGAUCAGAAUGCCACGGUGAAUACGUUCCCGGGCCUUGUACACACCGCCCGUCACACCAUGGGAGUGGGUUGCAAAAGAAGUAGGUAGCUUAACCUUCGGGAGGGCGCUUACCACUUUGUGAUUCAUGACUGGGGUGAAGUCGUAACAAGGUAACCGUGGGAACCUGCGGUUGGAUCACCUCCUUU
rnacentral:rRNA from 1 species